CUCUCCUGCUGAGGCUGUUCAGUGACCCAUCAGGCCAGCAAAAGUCAACAUCUGUCAACAUGGAGUGUGCUGCACCCUUCCAGUGGUCCAUCACCGGUAUGUAUGAGGACCCGAUGUGAAAAGAGACAAGUGGGCAUCGAGAGGACAGUGGGAACGUGACCGAGAUGCACAACGACCACUCUACCCCCGGGGUGGGAUUGCUCACCGGCGUCUUGGAGGCCGCUUGACCUUCCUUGUUCUGUUUGCAGUGGCGAGGGGAACAAGGUGAAAUCCAAUAAGAUUUUGAUAAACCGCGCUGUCACCGCCGCUGUGCUUCUCUGUGUGUGUGUUUCUGUGAGCGGCUUGUGUGUGAGAUAAAGAAGAGGGGAGAGAGACUUGAUAUGCCCGAGUGUGCUGACACUGUACUUUAGGUUCAUCACCUGCAAAGGUGUUUGGUCUUGAUGGGAACAUUCAUCCACAAAUUGAAGCUCCAGAUGGAUCCUCUGGUUUUUGGAUAUUUGAAGGCAUAAACAAUCCACUUCUGUAAAUGUCAUAGAUGUAAGAAACAUUUUAUGGCUGUUGCACUAUUACAAUGGUAAGAUGCUACUUCUAGGCUUCCUGUGAUAUUUCCCACGUGCUAUUAUAAGAUUUGUGUUAGUGAUGAUAUUGCAUGAUAGAAGUCCAUUUUCACUUUGGUGUUCACAAAAUCUGAUUAAAUCACUGUAUAGAUUUACAAAGAGUCGUCCAUCUCUCCUCUAUCGACCUUUAUUGGCAAACAGAAAUACAACAAUAGAUAGAUUUUUGGCACAAUCCCCAGAUAUGUCUUUUGCUUAGCUGGCUGUGGAGUAUAAUAUGUUUCAAGUGCAGGUGUUUGCUCAUAACUCACUGCCCUUUAUUGUUGGUUGGCUAAAAAUGCAAGUAGGCCGGGGAGAAGAUGGAGACUGUGUUGAAAUGCCAAGAAGUUGGCCGGUUUUAUUCUUUAAACACACAAAAUUGGCUUUUGAACGACAAAAAAACUCAGCACCUGGUGAAUUAACUGUUAGAAUAUUUGUACUUAUCAGCAAACCUGGCAACCCUUCUGCUCAGAUGUUGUGGGCAUUUAUGUUAAAGGACAAAAAAAUCUUCUGUAUGUUGUUUUAUACUGGAUAGCCCAGUUGUAGAUUCAUGUGAGCACAUGUGGAGUCAAGCCAAGUGUAGGUGCUGAGUAUCUUUAUGCAACAGUAGCAGUGAUUUGAAAUAAGAAUAAGGGGCUGACGGCCCCAAUGUGGACAUGCACAAAUAAAAGAGCUUCACUAUAGUAAA